GACGAACGCUGGCGGCGUGCUUAACACAUGCAAGUCGAGCGGUAAGGCCCUUUCGGGGGUACACGAGCGGCGAACGGGUGAGUAACACGUGGGUGACCUGCCUUUAGCUCUGGGAUAAGCCUGGGAAACUGGGUCUAAAUACCGGAUAUGACUCCGCGGUGCAUGCUGUGGGGUGAAAGCCUUGUGCGGCUGGAGAUGGGCCCGCGGCCUAUCAGCUUGUUGGUGGGGUGAUGGCCUACCAAGGCGACGACGGGUAGCCGGCCUGAGAGGGCG
rnacentral:rRNA from 1 species